rnacentral:misc_RNA from 1 species
GAUGAAGAACGUAGCGAAAUGCGAUAAGUAGUGUGAAUUGCAGAAUUCAGUGAAUUAUCGAAUCUUUGAACGCACAUUGCGCCCGCCAGUAUUCUGGCGGGCAUGCCUGUUCGAGCGUCAUUUCAACCCUCAAGCCCCCGGGCUUGGUGUUGGGGAUCGGCGUGCCCUCGCGGCGCGCCGUCCCCUAAAUCUAGUGGCGGUCUCGCUGUAGCUUCCUCUGCGUAGUAGCAACACUCGCACUGGAUCGCAGCGCGGCCACGCCGUUAAACCCCCCACUUCUGAAAGUUUGACCUCGGAUCAGGUAGGAAUACCCGCUGAACUUAAGCAUAUCAAUAAGCGGAGGA